UAAGAUUGGGUUAUGGCAGACUUCAGCUGCUCAGGUGCCCUGCAGAUUAAUGAACUUCAAUUCUCAGAAGAGAGAAGGACAGCAAGAGGUCCUAUUUAUCGGAGGAGACUGAAGACUCCUGCGAGACAACUGGAAGGGGGGAAGAAGAUCCAUAGUUACAGAGCACAGCUAAGCAGUUUGCCUCCUUGAGAGUCAGUGCUGCCAGUUGUUUUGCUCUCUGCUCCAUCAGGUUUACGUAUCUGAUUGGAUUGGAUAAUGCCUCAAUAACAUCUGCAAAUGAGGGAGAGAUUUAGAACCCAAUGCUGCUUUCUAUUGAAUAGUGCUUAUUUUUUUU